rnacentral:lncRNA from 1 species
ACUCACCGAGGUUGACGACCUUGAGCGCCGUGAAGAAGCGGUUCUGCCGGGCCAGGUCCUGCCAGGGAGCCUUGGAGCAGUGGUACUUGAUGAAGGGGAAGCAGCCGGUGCGCAGGACGUGGUAGUUGGCGCCCUGCACCGGCCAGUUGAAGUGCGAGAGGCCGAACUGGUCGUUGCGGACGGCGCUGUAGGGCACGCAGAAGGAGGUCCAGUGCGGCAGGCGCCGCUGCAGCAGAUGCCGCGUCAGCACCUCCGAGGCGCUGGGCUUGGGGCGGGCGGCGGCGCGCGAGGCCCACGGCCUACACAGCAGCAGGCGGAGCGCGACCUCGUGGGCCCUCCUCAGGGCCUCCAUGGCCCGCCGCGCCGGGGACGCAGGCUGGUGUCCGCAGCCGCUGGCGCGCAAGCGCGCCCCCGGGCGAGCGCCGGGAAGGCCAACCGGCGCCGCGCGGGUGCCCGAGAGCCCCCGGUGUGCGGCGGCGCGUGCGCACAGCGGCCCCGUGGCCUCCCGCUGGGGGUGGAGUCCGGGGGAUGGGAAGCGUGAGCUGCGCGAGGCGGAGGGUCACCUGCGUCAAGGAGCUGGUUUUGAGUGGCCAGGUGUGACCUCACGCCGUCAUUAGUAACUCGGGCAGGGGAGGGAUUCGGGGAGGUCUCAUCAAUUUGGGCCUGAGGAAAAUUCAGGUGGAAGACAAUUAAAUAACUAACCACCUCCGCAAGGUGCAGAACUCAAACCCAAGUCUCCCUCCCACGCCCUGGGCUCCAGGGAAGCCCUUGGGUGUUGUUGUUGAAACAGGACGAGGCGUGACCCCGGGUCUGCGUUGUUUGGCGUGGGUUCUCACUAUGUUGCUUAAGCUGGUCCAGAACUCAAGCCAGUCUCUCACUUCAGCCUCUUGAGUCGUUGGGAUUACAGAAGCCACCAUGUCCAACUAGACAAGAUCUUGUUGCCCAGGCUGGUCUCAAACUCCUGCGUUCAAAUGAUACUCUCGCCUUGGCCUCCAAAAGUGUUGGGAUUGCAGACCUGAGCUACUAUGCCUGGCUGAAUUCUAUUUCUAUUGGAUUGGUUGUAAAGAAGUGCAUUGUAGCCUGCAAAGGAGCAGGGCCAGUGGGGUGGAGAGGGCAGAAGUGCUACAGAGGCCCCUGCUCUCCACUGCCCUGACUGCUACUGUGCUGGAUGCCGUGUGAACCACAGCUGCAUCUGGAGGCCUUGGGCAGCACCUAACAGGAAGCCAGAGUAGGUCCUCUGAAGGUGUUUGUUCAAUGAACUUGUCAUCCUCCUCAACUUAAAGCCUUUAGCCUGAGAACAGAAUGUAAAACCAAUGGAGGGCCCAGGAAGGCAAAUGGAAAAUGAUUAUUGAACAAGCUGAAAACUGCCAAAAAACAUAAACUCUCACUUUGAAACCAUCAUCUGACUGAAAUGGAGAACUGUAAAACUGAGAAUAAUGAUCCUAAAACAACCAAAGUAUAUGUACAAUGCGGAUGACCAGAGGAUAUCGCGAUAUCGAGAGAGGAAGGCCAGGAGGUCAUUUCGCCCUUUAGACAGAGGUCUGGACAUGCAGCACUAAGAGAGGAGCAACCGGACAUUUUAAAACACGAGUCCUGUGAAAUAGUAGUGAACUUUAACAUUAUACUUUUAGGCUUUUCCAAUUUGGAGGCACAAAUAAGUGAGAACUUGGGGAUCCACUGAGGUCUGAGGCACGGUGGUACCAGAGGAGAUGAAGGGGCUUUCAGCAUGAAGCUGGUCCCCUGUCGACAGCACGCUGAUUUUCCCGUUGGGCUCUAUCAGCAUGUCCACUGUGAGACCAUGCUUGUGAAAAUACCAGGACGGUAAAUUAGUGAAUUCCAAAGUCAGGAUUUUUGUUGGAUCUGGCACAGUCACAGGAAAGUCUGAGUUUUCUCAAGGGCAUCCCUGUCUCACCGAGGGGCACCAAGGACAGACGACCAGAAGCAAAUGGCGCAGUCACCGUCAGAGGAGAGUAAAACUCAUUCUGAAACGGUUCCAAAUGCCCAUGCCUGCUCUGUGGUUUUCAGCAAAGCGGACCUUUCCAAAAGACCUCCAACAGGGACUUCCUGGAUGUGAGAACACUAACCAAUUCUCGUUCCUCUCAUCUUUUGCUUUAUUCCUUCCUUCCAUGCUGUUAUUGCGAAAAACUGGUAGUUAAAUUCAAUUGAUUCAAAAUAUUCGGGAUCCAUAUGGCCGCCAACCCUGGAGCUGAAGCGGCGAUAGCGCCUCACUGCUGUUUUCAAGCAUUUGCCUCUCCUCCAGUCCCCAGAUGGUGGGAGUAACAUUUAAACCUCCUUUUCUCUGCCUUGUACAAUAGACCUUGGCACCAUUUCAACUGUUUACUCCGGUAAUUAACAGCUCUGAUACCACAACAAUUACAACUCCUACACUCUCACCACAAUAAUGCUAUGAAUUAGUGAGAGCUAAUGGCUGGAAGGUAGAGUGUUUCCAGACUGUGGGAUCUGUGCAUUUUUAGAAUAAAAUAAAAGGUACAAACAGCACGCUUGCAGUAGACAAUGAUUACCUAGUAAUUAGUUUACACAAAGCUUCCUAUUUAAUGGCAAAACGCUGUAAUUAACGUGUGACAGAAAAUCAAAGGGUACUUUGUAAGCAUAUUAAAAAUUAACACUGCAGGCCCAUAGCUUUAUGUACUGAUUAGAAGCAUAUUAAAUCAAUAGGACACACAAACCAACAGCUUGGGUAGCUGAUUAUUAUAGGUCCUCAGAAGGGGUACCCUGGCUUUCAUUUCACUUGGGGAGGCAAUUUUCCUUCUCCUGUCAUCUUCCUCAGGCACAGAGAAACACCUCAAACUCAACCCUGGCAGCUUCAUGAAAAUAACCACUGAACUGGAAGAAAACAUUCUAAGUCAUUCUCAGAGAUGAAGACAAAUAUGUAAAUGAUUAAGACUUUCCAAUGAUUGUGGUGACGUGCUGCUACACUAAUUAGAAAAUACACCAACUGGAACCAGAAAAUAAAGCCACUGGGUUGCAAUCUUCCGGUCAGAAUAAUCUCUACUUUGUCAAGCCUCUUUAUUCAACUCAUAGAAAGUUCAAAUAAAUGGAACUGUUUUAUAUUUCUAAAUGAUAAGAAAGCAGGCUGCUAUGAAGACUUAUUCUUUCCAAGGCACUGUCUGGGUAAAGCAUAGGCUGGGAACAACUGGAUCAACCAACAUUCUGUAUCUUCAACAGCCACAACCCCAUAUAAUGAUGGCUGAUGGACAUAGACAGCAAUAUCCUGGAAGCCUACCAGAGCCUAAAGAACCUUCUGAAUCACCAAAGAAAGAUUAAGUUGUAUGUACUUGUUCAAUGUUACCUGUAUUUUGUUAUAAUACAAUUUUAUGGUAAUAAUAACAACAAUAAUAAUAGGUAGCAUUUCUUAAAGUCUUAUUAUGUGCUAAGCACACUGCUAGCCAAUUCAUAGAAUUAUCUCAUUUACUUGUCACCACUUCCCCAUGAGACAGGUACUAAUCUCUCUUUACAGAUAGAGAAAGGGAGACUUGGAGAGCUGAAGUAAUUUGCCUAUAGUUAUCCCCCAGGGAGCAUGGGAGUCUAACCUAGGUGUCCCUGGCUAUGGAACCCCAGGAAGCCAAACUACCUCUUAGUUACCCUGAAUGACUAGCCUGUUCCAACACUCAUUCUGCUUAAAAGGCAGUUUACUAUGUCAACCUGGAAUAGGAGACUAAAAAAAUUAAAACAAAAACAAAAUAUUUGGUUGCUUAUUUUUUUAAAAAACAGGGUGUUUCUGCUUUUAGAGAUAGGAGUCUUGUUCUGUCACCCAGGCUGGAGAGUGGUGGUGCAGUCAUGACUCAUUGCAGCCUCAAACUCCUGGGCUCGAGUGAUCCUCUUUCUUCAGGCUCCUAAGUAGCUGGAACUACAGGCACACACCUAAUUUUUAAAUUUUUUGUAGAGAUAGGGUCUCACUAUAUUGCCCAGGCUGGUCUUGAACUCCUGGCCUCAAGCCAACUCCCACCUCAGCCUUCCAAAGUGUUGGGAUUACAAAAUAUUACAGGAGUGAUCGACUGCACUGGGCUAAAAACAAGGGUUUUAAAUGCUUACCAUAUUUUUAAUGCUACAUCUGAUUGUGAAGGUGGGCUACUCAAAGCUUUUUGGGAAUUUACAGGCUCACUAAAAUGAUCACGAUAGUGUAUUAAAUUGAGAAAGGCAUUGAAAAUCUGUCAUUCCCAUGAACAACCAAAGGGUGAUGUCUAAAAUUCUCUCUCAUCACCCAUGCACAUAACCAGGUAUAUGAGGCAGUUGGGUUGCAAGAGCUGAAUCCUAGAAACUCCUAGGCAGGGCUCCUCCUCUCCAGCUCUGAGGUGUGUGUAUUGAUGGCCCCCUACACCUCCCAGUUUGCUGCCUUGUGGGAAAAGGAGACCAGCUCUUCUGUUAUCUAGGAAAGGGAAGAAAUUUGAGAGCAGUGGCCUCUGUGUUCCAGGAAUAUUUGCGUUUCCCACAAAUCUCUGGAAAGCAGAAAGCUUGCCACAAGGGCAGCACACGGUAUGAGUCACAAAGGCAAGGACCUGAGGGAGAACACUUCCCAGGACUUUCAAAUAAGGUCUUUCCUAAAUGUACUUGGCUCAGUGUGGCAAAAGCACUGGGCUAGCAGCAGUCAGAUGUGGGUUCAAAGCAAGGCACAAUCAUUUAUUAGCUAUAAAUUUGGGCAAGUCACUUCUUGAGAAUAAGUUUCUUCAUCUGUAAACAGAAGUAAUACCUUCCUUAUAUCUUAAAUUGGUGUGGAAGUAAAUGAGUAAAAACCUCAGGGUUUUUCUGAGUUUAAAUGAGACAAUUCAUGUAACGUGCUUAGCACAAUACCUGGUACCCAGUAGGUACUCUGCAGUAUUUAUUGAUGAUGAUGAUGAUGAUGAUGAUGAUGAUGAUGAUGACAAAGAAAUACAAGGAAAUGUCAACACCUUAACAGUGCAUUCAUAGAUCUACAAAAUGCUUAAUCUCAGUGUUCUGGCAACCACUAAAUACAUAAAGAUAAUCUAAGACAUCAAGAUUUCAACAUAUAAAAAUAAAUAUAAAAACAAGUGAACAAUAAUCAUUUAUAUGUAGUUUCAUGACUGGAAAAAAUAAUAACCUAGAUUUUUUCUUAACCUAGAAAAUCUAGAUUAAAAAAUAAAGAUCUUGCAUUUUUGAUAUAAAACACAAAUAAUAAGGACAUGAAAAAAGAAUAUCCCUUGCUAGUAAUCAAAUAAUAGCAAUGAGAAGCUGGAUUCUUAUAUCUAAAAUAAAAGUGCAAAUAGUUCAUAAUAUCCAUUGGUGGUAAGGUUGUGGUAAAACUAGUAUUCUUAUUCUCUGCCAGUUGCUUUGGAAAUUGGUACUAUCUUUUUAGGAAUAUGGCAAUAUGUAACAAAAGCCAUAAAAUAUUCUACUCCUGGGUCUUUCUCCUCGGGAAGUAACUCAACAGAAGCAAAAAGAGGUGUAUACAAAAACCAAAUAUAAAAACAAACAAAUCUUUCCUCCCUCUUUCCUCCCACUGCCAAAAAAUGAAAGCUGGGAAUAGCCUAAAUUUCCAACUUAGUUGAAUUGUUCAAUAUAUUAGAGUUCAUCAAUAUGAGAGAAUAUUAUGCAUCUAAUAAUUGUGACGACUAUGUAUAAACAUGGAAAAUAUUUAAGAUCUGAUGUUUAACUAGCAUAUACACUAUUAUUGUAGCUAUGAGAAAGAAAUACUGCAUAUUUAGAAAUUAAUAUACAAAAAUGAAAACAACUAUGUUUGGGGACAGUGAUUAUGUACUUUUAAAUUUUUUUUAAUCUUGUUAUCUUUAAACUUUUCUAAAAAUGAUGUGAUUACAAGCAAUGGCUCUUUGGGAUCACCUAAUAAAUACCUACUAAAUUCUAGACGGGACAACGAGCUCUGCCAUCCUGCAAUGGCUCCUGUGACCUAGUUCCAGGGCCAUUCUGAAUGGACAGAGGUCUUCACAAUGGAGGUGGAGAUGCAGGGAGCUCUAUGGCAUGAAAUGGUUAAUGAUUCUCUUUUGUAAUUGUGUUUUCUGUUUGCUGCCUUAGUUCUAAAAGGAGGCAAAACAACUGUGGUUUAUUCUACCUUUUCCAGGCAUAGUUCUUCUCCUACCUUUGUGAUCCCCAAAUUAAUAUCAAAUGUCUAAUUAGUUUUUUUCUCCAUUGGUGAUCCCCAAAUUAAUAUCAAAUGUCAGACAAAGUAAAUCAAAGUACAAAUAAAGGUAAAACUGCUCUUGCAAAGGGCUAAAAUAGCAAUGUUUACUAGAAGCAUUCAAGAGCCAGUUCAAUUUCCUAUUUCUCAUUAAGUGGUAAAAUAGUAAUGCCAAGACCACAUCCCAGAAUCUCCAGGGUAACAGAGGCCCAACGAAGGGCUGCAGAGAAACUUGAAAGUAAACUGGCUUAGUUCUUUACACACAGAAAUUGUUCUACAAAGAUCUCUUGCAAAGCAGUGUCACCAGUAGCAUCACUGCCACUAAGCCAAUGUCCCAGGAAUUGAGGAAAGGAAGACACCCUUAAAGAAAAAAAUGGAAAAAAGCCACAAGGACUGGUACCACAGUAAAUGUCUGCCUGGGUCUCCCUAAACUGUCUUAGGUGAGCUUACCCAGGAAUGUUUCUCCCCUACAUGUUUGCCUUCCUUUGUUUAAGCCUUUAUUCCUCCUAAAUGAAAAUAAAUACCCCCGACUGGGGAACGUGGAGUUUGGAGUGUGUGCAAGAGUGUGGAUUCAUUAAAACUUAACGAGCAGAGUACUUAAGUGAAUGAGUUUACUGGAACUUGUUGGGGGAAGUAGGUUUUGUUAGCUGGU